rfam:Triticum aestivum genome assembly, contig: Triticum_aestivum_CS42_TGACv1_scaffold_407673_5BL
UUUGUACUCCCUCCGUCCGGAAAUACUUGUCGGACAAAUGAAUGUAUUUAGAUGUAUUUUAGUUGUAGAUACAUCUAUUUUUAUUCAUUUCUCUGACAAGUAUUUUGGGACGGAGGGAGUACUAG